GAAAUCAACUUAUCGACCAGAUGGCUCCCAACGAAUCCAGCCCCACCAGUAACAACAAUCCGCAAUCUACGGCGAGCAAUACCCGCCGGGACACGACCGGAGAAGGAAGUUUUGCGGAAGAAGUUGGAGGAGGAAGAAUCGAGGGAGUUACUGGUGAAGGAUAAGGAAGAAGAUGAAUGGGAGUCGGAGGGGCCAAGGCGGGGG
rnacentral:misc_RNA from 1 species